GGUUACUGCUAUCGAGGUUCGACUAAGCCAUGCGAGUCGAAUGUAGCAAUACAUGGCGUACUGCUCAGUAACACGUGGACAACCUACCCUUAGGACGGGGAUAAACCCGGGAAACUGGGUAUAAUACCCGAUAGUCCUCGAAUGCUGGAAUGCGUCGCGGACUAAAGCUCCGGCGCCUAAGGAUGGGUCUGCGGCCUAUCAGGUAGUAGUGGGUGUAGCGUACCUACUAGCCAACGACGGGUACGGGUUGUGAGAGCAAGAGCCCGGAGAUGGAUUCUGAGACACGAAUCCAGGCCCUACGGGGUGCAGCAGGCGCGAAAACUUUACAAUGCUGGAAACAGCGAUAAGGGGACCUCGAGUGCCAGGUUACAAAUCUGGCUGUCGUGAUGCCUAAAAAGCAUUGCAUACAAGGGCCGGGCAAGACCGGUGCCAGCCGCCGCGGUAACACCGGCGGCUCGAGUGGUAACCGUUAUUAUUGGGUCUAAAGGGUCUGUAGCCGGCCGGAUAAGUCUCUUGGGAAAUCUGGCAGCUUAACUGUCAGGCUUUCAGGAGAUACUGUCUGGCUCGAGGCCGGGAGAGGUGAGAGGUACUUCAGGGGUAGGGGUGAAAUCUUGUAAUCCUUGAAGGACCACC
rnacentral:rRNA from 1 species